CAGUCGCCACGGGAAUACGUAGGGUGCAAGCGUUAAUCGGAAUUACUGGGCGUAAAGCGUGCGCAGGCGGUUAUAUAAGACAGAUGUGAAAUCCCCGGGCUCAACCUGGGAACUGCAUUUGUGACUGUAUAGCUAGAGUACGGCAGAGGGGGAUGGAAUUCCGCGUGUAGCAGUGAAAUGCGUAGAUAUGCGGAGGAACACCGAUGGCGAAGGCAAUCCCCUGGGCCUGUACUGACGCUCAUGCACGAAAGCGUGGGGAGCAAACAGGAUUAGAUACCCCUGUAGUCCCUGUCUCUUAUAC
rnacentral:rRNA from 1 species